ncrna:unclassified sequences nadA RNA
GGCUGCAACAUCCCCGCGAGCGGGACUCUUUGGAAACAAAGUGGUUAGCGCGUUCGCUGCAGCC